rnacentral:rRNA from 1 species
UACGUAGGGGGCAAGCGUUGUCCGGAAUCAUUGGGCGUAAAGCGCACGUAGGCGGCCCUGUAAGUCCGUUGUGAAAGUCAAAGGCUCAACCUUUGAAUGCCGAUGGAUACUGCAGGGCUAGAGUCCGGAAGAGGCGAGUGGAAUUCCUGGUGUAGCGGUGGAAUGCGCAGAUAUCAGGAGGAACACCAAUAGCGAAGGCAGCUCGCUGGGACGGUACUGACGCUAAGGCGCGAAAGCGUGGGGAGCGAACAGG